GACGAACGCUGGCGGCGUGCUUAACACAUGCAAGUCGAACGGUAAGGCCCUUCGGGGUACACGAGUGGCGAACGGGUGAGUAACACGUGGGUGAUCUGCCUGCACUUCGGGAUAAGCCUGGGAAACUGGGUCUAAUACCGGAUAGGACCAUGGACUUCACGGUUUGUGGUGGAAAGCUUUUGCGGUGUGGGAUGGGCCCGCGGCCUAUCAGCUUGUUGGUGGGGUAAUGGCCUACCAAGGCGACGACGGGUAGCCGGCCUGAGAGGGUGUCCGGCCACACUGGGACUGAGAUACGGCCCAGACUCCUACGGGAGGCAGCAGUGGGGAAUAUUGCACAAUGGGCGCAAGCCUGAUGCAGCGACGCCGCGUGAGGGAUGACGGCCUCGGUUGU
rnacentral:rRNA from 1 species